AGUGAACGCCGGCGGCAGGCCUAACACAUGCAGGGCGAACGGCAGCACGGUAAUGGCUUGCUGGUACGGGUUGAGGGUGGCGGACGGCAGCGUGAUACAUCGGAUUGUACGAUGUCGUGGGAGAUAACGCAGGGAAACUUACGCCAAUACCUCAUACGACCCACGGGCGAAAUUAGCUGACUUUCCGACCUCGCGCGUGUGCUAUCGCCGAUGUCCGAUUAGCUAGUUAGCGUGGUAAAGGCCCAGCCAGCCGACGAUCCGUAGCUGGUCUGAGAUGAUGAUCGGCCACACUGGAACUGAGACACGGUCCAGACUCCUACGGGAGGCACCAGUCGGGAAUAUUGGACAAUGGGCGCAAGCCUGAUCCAGCCCUACCGCGUGGGUGCAGAAGGCCUUCGGGUUGUAAAGCCCUUUUGUUGGGAAAGAAAAGCAGCAGGUUAAUACCCCGCUGUUCUGACGGUACCCAAAGAAUAAGCACCGGCUAACUUCGUG
rnacentral:rRNA from 1 species